rnacentral:rRNA from 1 species
AUUGAACGCUGGCGGCAGGCCUAACACAUGCAAGUCGAACGGUAACAGGAAGAAGCUUGCUUCUUUGCUGACGAGUGGCGGACGGGUGAGUAAUGUCUGGGAAACUGCCUGAUGGAGGGGGAUAACUACUGGAAACGGUAGCUAAUACCGCAUAACGUCGCAAGACCAAAGAGGGGGACCUUCGGGCCUCUUGCCAUCGGAUGUGCCCAGAUGGGAUUAGCUAGUAGGUGGGGUAACGGCUCACCUAGGCGACGAUCCCUAGCUGGUCUGAGAGGAUGACCAGCCACACUGGAACUGAGACACGGUCCAGACUCCUACGGGAGGCAGCAGUAGGGAAUAUUGCACAAUGGGCGCAAGCCUGAUGCAGCCAUGCCGCGUGUAUGAAGAAGGCCUUCGGGUUGUAAAGUACUUUCAGCGGGGAGGAAGGGAGUAAAGUUAAUACCUUUACUCAUUGACGUUACCCGCAGAAGAAGCACCGGCUAACUCCGUG